rnacentral:lncRNA from 1 species
CACCGUACAGCCACCAGACGUUGUCAGCUCUGACACGGACAUACGGCGCAGUUACCUAGGAGCAUUGUCCCGCCGAGAGCCGGGUCAACCCUGGUGAUUGGACGGCCGCACGGCGACAUGACGUUUUCACGGCGGCUCUGACAGCCCACAGUGAGUUGACAGUUCCUCACUUGUCCGCGCCAUUAAUGACGGCGCCAUACCUAGCUCCACUAUAUAUAUCGGGGAAGGCAACAGUGCAAAGGAUCGAUCCGCCCGUCUCUCCUACAUACGCAGGCUCGCUCCUCUCCC